AGAGUUUGAUCCUGGCUCAGGACGAACGCUGGCGGCGUGCCUAACACAUGCAAGUCGAGCGGGCCUGUCAAGGCGUUAUGUUUUGGCAGGUUAAGCGGCGGACGGGUGAGUAACGCGUGAGCAACCUACCCUUGAGACAGGGAUAACCCUGGGAAACCGGGGCUGAUACCUGAUAUACUCUAUUAGGGCAUCCUGAUGGAGGAAAGGGCGGGAAGCCGCUCAAGGAUGGGCUCGCGUCCCAUCAGCUAGUUGGUGAGGUAAUGGCUCACCAAGGCGACGACGGGUAGCCGGCCUGAGAGGGUGGUCGGCCACACUGGGACUGAGACAUGGCCCAGACUCCUACGGGAGGCAGCAGUGGGGAAUCUUCCGCAAUGGGCGAAAGCCUGACGGAGCGACGCCGCGUGAGCGAAGAAGGCCUUC
rnacentral:rRNA from 1 species